AACUCCAGCUCCUCUUGCAUAUAUUUCCCCAAGAAGUUCCAUAGAUCUCGCCUCACCCUUCUCCACUGCCUUCAGAAACCAUGUUAAUGCCUUGGUGUGAUCACGUCGUACUCCCCUUAAUCCAAAGUAGUAGAAUAUCCCAAUUUUAUACAUUGCACCGGCAUUCCCUUUUUGUGCCUGGUAUUCCAAAAUCUGGAAGUCCUCAUCCUCCUCACCUCGGGACUUCCUCAAUGCUUCCUUAUUUUCCUCUGCUCCGCUGUGUAUCCUCACUGGUUCAAUCACAGGUGGCCAUUAACAGUUUCCUGAUAUCAAAGG
rnacentral:misc_RNA from 1 species